UGUCACUUAAGUCCUGUUCCUUUGCCAAUGGGUGGUUUGCUGCUGAUGGGAACCACCAGGUUUGCAGUUGCUGUGACUCAACAUGUGGCCCAGAUGCUGGAGUUGCAGCUUCUCCUCCCUUUGGUGGUGUUCAGUGGCAAGGCAUGGCCUCAUUUGGGCCUGUAGUGGUUCAACAGCAAACAAAGACUGUAGCAGGUGUUUAAUAAAGAGAAAACCUUUA